AGCGAACGCUGGCGGCAGGCUUAACACAUGCAAGUCGAACGGGCACUUCGGUGCUAGUGGCAGACGGGUGAGUAACGCGUGGGAACGUGCCUUUCGGUUCGGAAUAAUCCAGGGAAACUUGGACUAAUACCGGAUACGCCCUUCGGGGAAAGAUUUAUCGCUGAAAGAUCGGCCCGCGUCUGAUUAGCUAGUUGGUGAGGUAAAGGCUCACCAAGGCGACGAUCAGUAGCUGGUCUGAGAGGAUGAUCAGCCACACUGGGACUGAGACACGGCCCAGACUCCUACGGGAGGCAGCAGUGGGGAAUAUUGGACAAUGGGCGAAAGCCUGAUCCAGCCAUGCCGCGUGAGUGAUGAAGGCCUUAGGGUUGUAAAGCUCUUUUGUCCGGGAAGAUAAUGACUGUACCGGAAGAAUAAGCCCCGGCUAACUUCGUGCCAGCAGCCGCGGUAAU
rnacentral:rRNA from 1 species